rnacentral:rRNA from 1 species
AGUGAACGCUGGCGGCAGGCCUAACACAUGCAAGUCGAGCGGCAGCGCGGGGGCAACCCUGGCGGCGAGCGGCGGACGGGUGAGGAAUGCAUCGGAAUCUACCUCGUUGUGGGGGAUAACCUCGGGAAACCGGGACUAAUACCGCAUACGACCUACGGGUGAAAGUGGGGGACCUUCGGGCCUCACGCGAUGAGAUGAGCCGAUGCCGGAUUAGCUAGUUGGCGGGGUAAAGGCCCACCAAGGCGACGAUCCGUAGCUGGUCUGAGAGGAUGAUCAGCCACACUGGGACUGAGACACGGCCCAGACUCCUACGGGAGGCAGCAGUGGGGAAUUUUGGACAAUGGGGGCAACCCUGAUCCAGCCAUGCCGCGUGAGUGAAGAAGGCCUCGGUUGUAAGUACGUCUUUCGGUACGG